rnacentral:rRNA from 1 species
GCAGUCGAGCGGUAGAGAGAGCUUGCUUCUCUUGAGAGCGGCGGACGGGUGAGUAAUGCCUAGGAAUCUGCCUGGUAGUGGGGGAUAACGUUCGGAAACGGACGCUAAUACCGCAUACGUCCUACGGGAGAAAGCAGGGGACCUUCGGGCCUUGCGCUAUCAGAUGAGCCUAGGUCGGAUUAGCUAGUUGGUGAGGUAAUGGCUCACCAAGGCGACGAUCCGUAACUGGUCUGAGAGGAUGAUCAGUCACACUGGAACUGAGACACGGUCCAGACUCCUACGGGAGGCAGCAGUGGGGAAUAUUGGACAAUGGGCGAAAGCCUGAUCCAGCCAUGCCGCGUGUGUGAAGAAGGUCUUCGGAUUGUAAAGCACUUUAAGUUGGGAGGAAGAGCAGUUACCUAAUACGUGAUUGUUUUGACGUUACCGACAGAAUAAGCACCGGCUAACUCUGUGCCAGCAGCCGCGGUAAUACAGAGGGUGCAAGCGUUAAUCGGAAUUACUGGGCGUAAAGCGCGCGUAGGUGGUUUGUUAAGUUGGAUGUGAAAUCCCCGGGCUCAACCUGGGAACUGCAUUCAAAACUGACUGA